UGGUUGAUCCUGCCAGUAGCAUAUGCUUGUCUCAAAGAUUAAGCCAUGCAUGUCUAAGUACAAGCCGCUAGACGGCGAAACCGCGAAUGGCUCAAUAAAUCAGUUAUGGUUCCUUAGAUCCACUCCAUCCUACUUGGAUAACUGUGGUAAUUCUAGAGCUAAUACAUGCACUCGAGCCUCGACUGCGGGCUUUCGGGCUCGCAGAAGAGGUGCUUUUAUUAGAUCAAAACCAGUCGGGNCCGGGCUUUCGGGCUCGCGCACCGUACCAAUUUUGGUGACUCUGGAUAACUUCACGCCGAUCGCACGGCCUUCGCGCCGGCGACGUAUCUUUCAAAUGUCUGCCUUAUCAACUGUCGAUGGUAGGUUACGCGCCUACCAUGGUUGCAACGGGUAACGGGGAAUCGGGGUUCGAUUCCGGAGAGGGAGCCUGAGAAACGGCUACCACAUCCAAGGAAGGCAGCAGGCGCGCAAAUUACCCACUCCCGGCACGGGGAGGUAGUGACGAAAAAUAACGAUACGGGACUCUUCCGAGGCCCCGUGAUUGGAAUGAGUACACUUUAAAUCCUUUAACGAGGAACCAUUGGAGGGCAAGUCUGGUGCCAGCAGCCGCGGUAACUCCAGCUCCAAUAGCGUAUAUUAAAGUUGUUGCGGUUAAAAAGCUCGUAGUCGGAUGUCUGUCUUCGGCCGGGCGGCGCCGCUCUGAAUCAAGGGUGUUGCGUUUCACGCUCUGGGAGCCCGGGUGUCAAAGCCCGACUCUCUUCACGGUCGGACAACAUCGCCGGAGUGGUGGUCGGUGCGUCGUUGUUGUAUCUGCGGCCAGAGUUGGAAAGUUCUUUCGGGUUCUUUUUUAAUUUUGGUCGUAGUUGACUCGAUUCGCUCCACCCAGUCAAUCGUUCGGGGUGCCCUUCACCGGGUGUCUCGGGCGGCCGGCAACGUUUACUUUGAACAAAUUAGAGUGCUCAAAGCAGGUGUAUCCCAACGCCUGAAUAUCGCAGCAUGGAAUGAUGGAAUAGACCUCGGUCCGAUUUUGCUGGUCUUUUACUUUUGGACCCGAGGUAAUGGUCAAUAGAGACGGACGGGGGCAUUCGUACUGCGGCGACAGAGGUGAAUUCUUGGACCGCCGCAAGACGAACAACAGCGGGAUCCUCUA
rfam:Daphnia pulex DAPPTscaffold_11556_Cont18173, whole genome shotgun sequence.